GAUGAAGAACGUAGCGAAAUGCGAUAAGUAAUGUGAAUUGCAGAAUUCAGUGAAUCAUCGAAUCUUUGAACGCACAUUGCGCCCGUCAGUAUUCUGGCGGGCAUGCCUGUUCGAGCGUCAUUACGCCCCUCAAGUCCCCUGUGGACUUGGUGUUGGGGAUCGGCGAGGCUGGUUUUCCAGCACAGCCGUCCCUUAAAUUAAUUGGCGGUCUCGCCGUGGCCCUCCUCUGCGCAGUAGUAAAACACUCACAACAGGAGCCCGGCGCGGUCCACUGCCGUAAAACCCCCCAACUUUUUAUAGUUGACCUCGAAUCAGGUAGGACUACCCGCUGAACUUAAGCAUAUCAAUAAGCGGAGGA
rnacentral:misc_RNA from 1 species